rnacentral:lncRNA from 1 species
UGCCAACUAAAGUCCCAUCUUUUACAAGGAGCCUUCCCCAACCACUCUUAAUUCUAGUUCUUUCCCUCUGCUAAAUAUUUCCUUUUAAUUUUGUAUAUAGCUUGCUCUGUGUCUGUGUAUUUGUAUAUUAUCUUCCCAUUAGAUUGUAAGCUUCUUGAGGGCAAGGACUCUCUUUUGCCUCUUUUUGUAUUCCCAGUACCUAGCACACUUCCUGGUACAUAGUAGGGGCUUUAUCAAUGUUGAUUGAUUGGUUAAUUCCAGCCUUAGAGGCCAGCUGUCUACCCACUAUGCCAUGUUGCACUGAGUCUAAUUCGUUUGUUUUGUUUUGUUUUUUUACUACGCAUUUACAUGUGGACAACAUUUUAGCCAGCUGAAGGACAUAAGAGGAGACACCAUAGAAAACACCAUGAUGACAUACACAAUCCAGGACCCGGCAAUCCUUUCAGAGGGCCAAGAGGACCACAGGGUCCCAGAGGACGACCCAGGCCUGGAGGGUGUCCUGGUCCAACCCCUCCAGUAGUUUUUUUUGGGCCACCAAGUCCACCUGCUGCACACGAAAGAGAUGGGGAAGGACCGUUCUUCCCACAAGAGAACUGUGUAAGGCUUUGUCUUAAUGGCCCUGCAAAUGGAGCUCCUGGGAGCCCUCCUGGAUCCUCUACAGCCCCUCCUCCUCCCGCUCCCAUCUCUACCAUUACAGCUGUCACCGGGGCUGAAAGCACUCCUGCUGCCAAUCCUGAAAGCACAGACAUCGUAACAACAGCAAUAUACACGGUUACUUAGUUCUGAAUUCACACGAGGAAAACGUCAAGGCAAGAAAUGGUAAGAAUCCUUAGAGAUUAUCUAAGGACUAUCUAUUAUACAUGAGGAUUAUCCAUAUCUGCUUAUCUAUGGCUUUUCCCAUGGUUUCAUUCAAAU